CCUACGGGAGGCUGCAGUGGGGAAUAUUGCACAAUGGGGGAAACCCUGAUGCAGCGACGCCGCGUGAGUGAAGAAGUAAUUCGUUACGUAAAGCUCUAUCAGCAGGGAAGAAAAUGACGGUACCUGAGUAAGAAGCCACGGCUAACUACGUGCCAGCAGCCGCGGUAAUACGGAGGGGGCAAGCGUUAUCCGGAUUUACUGGGUGUAAAGGGAGCGUAGACGGUGCGCCAAGUCUGCAGUGAAAUGCCGCGGCUUAACUGCGGAAGUGCUUUGGAAACUGGCGACCUAGAGUGCGGGAGGGGUAGGCGGAAUUCCUAGUGUAGCGGUGAAAUGCGUAGAUAUUAGGAGGAACACCGGUUGCGAAGGCAGCUUACUGGACCGUAACUGACGUUGAGGCUCGAAAGCGUGGGGAGCAAACAGGAUUAGAUACCCUUGUAGUC
rnacentral:rRNA from 1 species